rnacentral:rRNA from 1 species
GAUGAACGCUCGCGGCAGGCCUAACACAUGCAAGUCGAGCGAGGAGCCUUCGGGCUUCGACCGGCGUACGGGUGCGUAACGCGUAUACAAUCUGCCUUUCACAUAGGGAUAGCCCGAAGAAAUUUGGAUUAAUACCUAAUGGUAUAUAGAUGUGGCAUCACCUUUAUAUUAAGGCUUAGGCGGUGAAAGAUGAGUAUGCGUUCUAUUAGCUAGUUGGAGAGGUAACGGGUCCCCAAGGCGACGAUAGAUAGGGGUGCUGAGGGGGAUAUCCCUCACACUGGUACUGGGAUACGGGCCAGAGUCCUACGGCAGGCAGCAGUGAGGGAUACAGGACAGGGGUCGGAAGACUGAUCCAGCCAAGCCGCGUGCAGCAAGACGGCGUGAUGGAUGGUAAACUGCUUUUGCAAGGGAAGAAUAAGGACUACGCGUAGUUCGAUGACGGUACUCGGCGAAUAAGCAUCGGCUAACUCCGUG